GUGGGGAAUAUUGGGCAAUGGGGGAAACCCUGACCCAGCAACGCCGCGUGAAGGAAGACGGUUUUCGGAUUGUAAACUUCUUUUAUCGGGGACGAAAAAAAUGACGGUACCCGAAGAAAAAGCCACGGCUAACUACGUGCCAGCAGCCGCGGUAAUACGUAGGUGGCAAGCGUUGUCCGGAUUUACUGGGUGUAAAGGGCGUGUAGGCGGGACUGCAAGUCAGAUGUGAAAUACCAAGGCUUAACCUUGGGGCUGCAUUUGAAACUGUAGUUCUUGAGUGAUGGAGAGGCAGGCGGAAUUCCUAGUGUAGCGGUGAAAUGCGUAGAUAUUAGGAGGAACACCAGUGGCGAAGGCGGCCUGCUGGACAUUAACUGACGCUGAGGCGCGAAAGCGUGGGGAGCAAACAGGAUUAGAAACCCGUGUAGUCC
rnacentral:rRNA from 1 species